GAUGAACGCUGGCGGCGUGCCUAAUACAUGCAAGUCGAGCGAACGGACGAGAAGCUUGCUUCUCUGAUGUUAGCGGCGGACGGGUGAGUAACACGUGGAUAACCUACCUAUAAGACUGGGAUAACUUCGGGAAACCGGAGCUAAUACCGGAUAAUAUUUUGAACCGCAUGGUUCAACAGUGAAAGACGGUCUUGCUGUCACUUAUAGAUGGAUCCGCGCUGCAUUAGCUAGUUGGUAAGGUAACGGCUUACCAAGGCAACGAUGCAUAGCCGACCUGAGAGGGUGAUCGGCCACACUGGAACUGAGACACGGUCCAGACUCCUACGGGAGGCAGCAGUAGGGAAUCUUCCGCAAUGGGCGAAAGCCUGACGGAGCAACGCCGCGUGAGUGAUGAAGGUCUUCGGAUCGUAAAACUCUGCUAUUAGGGAAGAACAUAUGUGUAAGUAACUGUGCACAUCUUGACGGUACCUAAUCAGAAAGCCACGGCUAACUACGUG
rnacentral:rRNA from 1 species